rnacentral:rRNA from 1 species
GGGACCUACGGGGGGCAGCAGUAGGGAAUCUUCCACAAUGGGGGGAACCCUGAUGCAGCGACGCCGCGUGAGUGAAGAAGUAUUUCGGUAUGUAAAGCUCUAUCAGCAGGGAAGAAAAUGACGGUACCUGACUAAGAAGCCCCGGCUAACUACGUGCCAGCAGCCGCGGUAAUACGUAGGGGGCAAGCGUUAUCCGGAUUUACUGGGUGUAAAGGGAGCGUAGACGGCAGAGCAAGUCUGAAGUGAAAGCCCGCGGCCCAACUGCGGGCCUGCUUUGGAAACUGCCCGGCUAGCGUGCUGGCGAG